GACGAACGCUGGCGGCGUGCUUAACACAUGCAAGUCGAACGGAAAGGCCCUGCUUUUGUGGGGUGCUCGAGUGGCGAACGGGUGAGUAACACGUGAGUAACCUGCCCUUGACUUUGGGAUAACUUCAGGAAACUGGGGCUAAUACCGGAUAGGAGCUCCUGCUGCAUGGUGGUGUUUGGAAAGUUUCGGCGGUUGGGGAUGGACUCGCGGCUUAUCAGCUUGUUGGUGGGGUAGUGGCUUACCAAGGCAUUGACGGGUAGCCGGCCUGGGAGGGUGACCGGCCACCAUGGGACUGAGGUACGGCGCAGACGCCUACGGGAGACAGCAGGGGAGAAUAUGGCACAGUGGGCGGAAGCCUGAUGCAGCAACGCCGCGUGCGGGAUGACGGCCUUCGGGUUGUAAACCGCAUUAGCCUGUGACGAAGCGGGAGUGACGGUAAUGGGUAAAGAAGCACCGGCUAACUACGUG
rnacentral:rRNA from 1 species